rnacentral:rRNA from 1 species
UGGGGAAUAUUGCACAAUGGGCGCAAGCCUGAUGCAGCGACGCCGCGUGGGGGAUGACGGCCUUCGGGUUGUAAACUCCUUUCGCUAGGGACGAAGCUUUUUGUGACGGUACCUAGAUAAGAAGCACCGGCUAACUACGUGCCAGCAGCCGCGGUAAUACGUAGGGUGCGAGCGUUGUCCGGAAUUACUGGGCGUAAAGGGCUCGUAGGUGGUUUGUCGCGUCGUCUGUGAAAUUCCGGGGCUUAAAUCCGGGCGUGCAGGCGAUACGGGCAUAACUUGAGUACUGUAGGGGUAACUGGAAUUCCUGGUGUAGCGGUGAAAUGCGCAGAUAUCAGGAGGAACACCGAUGGCGAAGGCAGGUUACUGGGCAGUUACUGACGCUGAGGAGCGAAAGCAUGGGUAGCGAACAGG